rnacentral:rRNA from 1 species
AUGAACGCUAGCUACAGGCUUAACACAUGCAAGUCGAGGGGCAGCAUGGUCUUAGCUUGCUAAGGCCGAUGGCGACCGGCGCACGGGUGAGUAACGCGUAUCCAACCUGCCUUACACUCUUGGACAGCCUUCUGAAAGGGAGAUUAAUACAAGAUGUUAUCAUGAGUAAGCAUUUUCGCAUGAUUAAAGGUUUACCGGUGUAAGAUGGGGAUGCGUUCCAUUAGAUAGUAGGCGGGGUAACGGCCCACCUAGUCUUCGAUGGAUAGGGGUUCUGAGAGGAAGGUCCCCCACAUUGGAACUGAGACACGGUCCAAACUCCUACGGGAGGCAGCAGUGAGGAAUAUUGGUCAAUGGACGAGAGUCUGAACCAGCCAAGUAGCGUGAAGGAUGAAGGUUCUAUGGAUUGUAAACUUCUUUUAUACGGGAAUAAACGAAUCCACGUGUGGAUUUUUGCAUGUACCGUAUGAAUAAGGAUCGGCUAACUCCGUGCCAGCAGCCGCGGUAAUACGGAGGAUCCGAGCGUUAUCCGGAUUUAUUGGGUUUAAAGGGAGCGUAGAUGGGUUGUUAAGUCAGUUGUGAAAGUUUGCGGCUCAACCGUAAAAUUGCAAUUGAUACUGGCAGUCUUGAGUACAGUUGAGGUAGGCGGAAUUCGUGGUGUAGCGGUGAAAUGCUUAGAUAUCACGAAGAACUCCGAUUGCGAAGGCAGCUUACUAACCUGUAACUGACAUUGAUGCUCGAAAGUGUGGGUAUCAAACAGGAUUAGAUACCCUGGUAGUCCACACGGUAAACGAUGAAUACUCGCUGUAGGCGAUAUACAGUCUGCGGCCAAGCGAAAGCAUUAAGUAUUCCACCUGGGGAGUACGCCGGCAACGGUGAAACUCAAAGGAAUUGACGGGGGCCCGCACAAGCGGAGGAACAUGUGGUUUAAUUCGAUGAUACGCGAGGAACCUUACCCGGGCUUAAAUUGCAACCGAAUAUGGCGGAAACGCUAUAGCUAGCAAUAGCGGUUGUGAAGGUGCUGCAUGGUUGUCGUCAGCUCGUGCCGUGAGGUGUCGGCUUAAGUGCCAUAACGAGCGCAACCCUUGCCGAUAGUUACUAACAGGUUAUGCUGAGGACUCUGUCGGGACUGCCAUCGUAAGAUGUGAGGAAGGUGGGGAUGACGUCAAAUCAGCACGGCCCUUACGUCCGGGGCUACACACGUGUUACAAUGGGGGGUACAGAGGGCUGCUACCACGCAAGUGGAUGCCAAUCCCAAAAACCUCUCUCAGUUCGGAUUGAAGUCUGCAACCCGACUUCAUGAAGUUGGAUUCGCUAGUAAUCGCGCAUCAGCCACGGCGCGGUGAAUACGUUCCCGGGCCUUGUACACACCGCCCGUCAAGCCAUGGGAGCCGGGGGUACCUGAAGUGCGUAACCGCAAGGAGCGCCCUAGGGUAAAACUGGUGACUGGGGCU